GAGGUAGCAACACAUGUAGCCAAUAAUUAAGCAACCAAGGACCACAGAAAAGGUUUUGUUUUUGUAUUAAAAACCUGACAUGAGGUGAGUUGAAUGGUUUCUUUAGCUUGUAUUUCCAAGACCUAUCUUCUUUCUAACCUUACUAACACAUGCACUUUUCCUCUGUAAUUGUCUCUCUUUGUUGAUAUGUAUUUUAAAUAAAUUAUUAUUCCGUUUUGUAUUUAAAAAUCCUUUAGGACUUGAAUAAUCUUGUAUCAGUUUCUGUCUUUUGAGAUGGGCGUAGAGGAGUAUAAGACAGACAGACAGACAGACAGUGGCCAAUAGCACAACAAAUAGGAGAGCAUUGCAAGAAUCUGGAUACAGAGUAUUCACUAUGGCAACAGGCCAACAAUAAUCAACUUGACACAAACUUGCCAAGAAUCAGUCCCGCUGCGGGGGUCAACAGGCUGACUCCUCAAUGAGAGCACCAAGAGUAAUGAUGGGCAACAGUCCUAACAUGGAAUUGACAACUUGACUCCAUCCUCCUAUUUGGGAGCAAUCUGGUAUCAAAAGGAGAGUCCAGCACACAGCGGCCAAUUCUAAAG